rnacentral:rRNA from 1 species
AUUGAACGCUGGCGGCAGGCCUAACACAUGCAAGUCGAACGAGUGGCGGACGGGUGAGUAAUGUCUGGGAAACUGCCCGAUGGAGGGGGAUAACUACCGGACACGGUAGCUAAUACCGCAUACCAUCGGAUGUGCCCAGGUGGGAAGAGCUAGUAGGUGGGGUAACGGCUCACCUAGGCGACGAACUCUAGCUGGUCUGAGAGGAUGACCAGCCACACUGGAACUGCGACACGGUCCAGACUCCUACGGGAGGCAGCAGUGGGGAAUAUUGCACAAUGGGCGCAAGCCGGAUGCAGCCAUGCCGCGUGGAUGAAGAAGGCCUUCGGGUUGUAAAGUACUUUCAGCGAGGAGGCGUUACUCGCAGAAGAAGCAUCGGCUAACUCCGUGCCAGCAGCCGCGGUAAUAC